rnacentral:rRNA from 1 species
UCUACGGGAGGCUGCAGUGGGGAAUAUUGGACAAUGGGCGAAAGCCUGAUCCAGCCAUGCCGCGUGUGUGAAGAAGGCCUUCGGGUUGUAAAGCACUUUCAGUGGGGAAGAAAGCCUUGGGGCUAAUACCCUCGAGGAAGGACAUCACCCACAGAAGAAGCACCGGCUAACUCCGUGCCAGCAGCCGCGGUAAUACGGAGGGUGCGAGCGUUAAUCGGAAUUACUGGGCGUAAAGCGCGCGUAGGCGGUCUGAUAAGCCGGUUGUGAAAGCCCCGGGCUCAACCUGGGAACGGCAUCCGGAACUGUCAGGCUAGAGUGCAGGAGAGGAAGGUAGAAUUCCCGGUGUAGCGGUGAAAUGCGUAGAGAUCGGGAGGAAUACCAGUGGCGAAGGCGGCCUUCUGGACUGACACUGACGCUGAGGUGCGAAAGCGUGGGUAGCAAACAGGAUUAGAUACCCUAGUAGUC